rnacentral:rRNA from 1 species
GACGAACGCUGGCGGCGUGCUUAACACAUGCAAGUCGAACGGAAAGACCCUGCUUUUGUGCGGUUCUCGAGUGGCGAACGGGUGAGUAACACGUGAGUAACCUGCCCUUGACUUUGGGAUAACUUCAGGAAACUGGGGCUCAUACCGGAUAGGAGCUCCUGCUGCAUGGUGGGGGUUGGAAAGUUUCGGCGGUUGGGGAUGGACUCGCGGCUUAUCAGCUUGUUGGUGGGGUAGUGGUAUACCAAGGGUUUGACGGGUAGCCGGCCUGAGAGGGUGACCGGCCACCAUGGGCCUAAGGUACGCCCCAGAAUGCUACCGGAGGCAGCAGGGGGGAAUAUUGCACAAUGGGCCGAAGUCUGUGGCAGCAACGCCGCGAGCGUGAUGCCGUCCUUCGGGUUGUGAACCGCUGUCGCAUGUGACGAAGCGUGAGUGACGGUAAUGGGUAAAGAAGCACCGGCUAACUACGUG